GGAGAAAAGUGUCGGUAAAUUAAUUAAGUUGUGACCGUCGGUAACGCGAAUUCACAAAUUUCUUGCUACGAGUUGCGGACGUUUGUAAUAAGUCGCGCGUGUAUGGCACAUAUCUGUAAAAAGUAGAAAGAUAAUAGGCCGGAAUUCGUGGGAUAGUGUGGUGCUUCGUCCAGUGGUUAUAAAGCUCGAGUAGGGCGUAAUCUAGAGUGGUCAGAACCUGUAUAGAUCCGAUAAAGAUCGGAUUCACGUUAAAAAUGAAGUUCGGUGCUUCUCGCUCGAGUAUUCAGCCGUGUGGCGUGCUCGCUACCAUAAUUGCUCGUGCUCGCAUGUCACAUUAGAGGACAUAUAAAAGACAUAUGAAUCUAAUUUGCAAUAAAAAUUUUGGACCAAAUAUGAGCAUCAUAAUUCUUACUCGUGGAAUCUAAUUCAGUAAUUAAGAUCGGGACAAAAUUGUAUAUAUUAGGUUGACCGAAAAGUGUCUUUCUUUUACAGACCCGUCUUUUACAACAAUGCAUCUUUACACAAACAUGAAAUCUAAUCUGUUGAACGUUAUGAUUUUUAUUUUGAUAGAAUAAAAUGGAUCGUACGUAAUUCGAUAAAAUAAUAUAAAACGGAAAAUGUUGUGCAUCUAUUAUUUUCUUAUAAAACGAAAGAAACUUUUCGGACGAGCUAAUAUCAAAACAGUGUAAGACUUUUUUCAAUUUAAUUUAUUAAUCUGUAUUCCUCUAUGUACAAGACUGCGCCUGCUAAAUAAUCCUUUCUAUGAUACAAGGUAGAGGUAAUUCAUUGGGUGAAAUUGCAUCUCAUUGUCAAACUCACUCAAUACAUUGCAAUCAAUUUUUUUAACCAUAAUAGAUUAAAAAAAGAGAGACAAAACGAAAGAACAAUUCAGAUUAUUAUUUACAAAAAUAAUUGAUCAAUUAUUGAUCGAUUAAUUAUUGGACAAUUCAUCUCCGCAUUUUUACAAAGGGAAAGAAAUAUAAAUUCAAGAUAGUCAUUCUUUCUUUGUACUGCUUUCAAUCAAUAUAAUGAACACAACCUGUGAAUUAGGCAAUAGUUAAUUCAUUAUUAAUUAUGUACAAGUAAUUAUUAUCGAAUAAAGAAUUAAUGAAGGGAUAUAAAAAUUUUUCGUGGUUAUUUCAUAAUGACAACCCAUCAAUUAAUCGACAAAUACGGAAUGACUAAUUAAUUAAUCAUCGGUACUAAUUGUAAGGUCUUUUUGUUAAAGACCGACAGUAGUGACACAAUUAACUAAUUAAUCUUAGAUAUAAUUGAUCAAUUAACGAUAAAAUUUCUUAAGCUAAUUAAACGAAAUUGAUACUAUUUAAAGCACCUGAAAAAUUCUGCUCUUAAAAAUUGUGCUCCGCUUAGAAAAUUCACUGCGACUUUUACUCUUUUUUUUAAAUAGUAAUUAGUGUGAUCAUAUUUACUUGUCGCAAUCUGAAUCAUUAUGUUAUAAAUUAAUUUUGUUUUAUCAUGUUAUUAUAUAUGAAGUCAUUUAUAUUCUUUUACGUGCAUUAUUGACCUUGCAUUUUUUUGGUAACUGUCUCGUUUUUUCUCUUUUUUGGACACUUUGGCAUAAAAGAUAAAUAAAUAUAUCAAAGUGACGCGGCUGAAAUGAAUCAAUUUUGAUUCAAAUAAUCUUUAAAAUGAAGAAUAUUACUCUAACUAAAAAGAAUAAUGCACAAUAUUAAAAAAAAUUUCACAUAAAAAAUAUGUUUCGACUAUUUCAA